UACGAAGGGGGCUAGCGUUGUUCGGAAUUACUGGGCGUAAAGCGCACGUAGGCGGGUUGUUAAGUCAGGGGUGAAAUCCUGGAGCUCAACUCCAGAACUGCCUUUGAUACUGGCAACCUAGAGACUGGAAGAGGUUAGUGGAAUUCCCAGUGUAGAGGUGAAAUUCGUAGAUAUUGGGAAGAACACCAGUGGCGAAGGCGGCUAACUGGUCCAGCACUGACGCUGAGGUGCGAAAGCGUGGGGGGCAAACAGG
rnacentral:rRNA from 1 species